GACGAACGCUGGCGGCGUGCUUAACACAUGCAAGUCGAACGGAAAGGCCCUGCUUUUGUGGGGUGCUCGAGUGGCGAACGGGUGAGUAACACGUGAGUAACCUGCCCUUGACUUUGGGAUAACUUCAGGAAACUGGGGCUAAUACCGGAUAGGAGCUCCUGCUGCAUGGUGGGGGUUGGAAAGUUUCGGCGGUUGGGGCUGGACUCGCGGCUUAUCAGCUUGUUGGUGGGGUAGUGGCUUACCAAGGCUUUGACGGGUAGCCGGACUGGGAGUGUGACCGGGCACAAGAGGACUAAGGUACGGACCAGAAGCGAACGUGAGGCAACAGUGGGAAGUAUGACAGAAUAAGCAGGAGCCAGAUACAAAGGCGCUGCGAGCGGGAUGACGGGCUUCGAGGUGUGAACAGCUGUGGACUGUGACGAGGCGAGAGUGACGGUAAUGAGUAAAAAAGCACCGGCUAACUACGUG
rnacentral:rRNA from 1 species